rnacentral:rRNA from 1 species
GACGAACGCUGGCGGCGUGCUUAACACAUGCAAGUCGAACGGUGAAGCGCCUUCCUUUUUGGUGGGUGUGGAUGAGUGGCGAACGGGUGAGUAACACGUGAGUAACCUGCCCCCUUCUUCUGGAUAACCGCAUGAAAGUGUGGCUAAUACGGGAUAUUCUGGGUCUGUCGCAUGAUGGGUCUGGGAAAGAUAUUGUUUCGGUGGGGGAUGGGCUCGCGGCCUAUCAGCUUGUUGGUGGGGUGAUGGCCUACCAAGGCGGUGACGGGUAGCCGGCCUGAGAGGGUGGACGGGCACAAUGGGAAGGAGGCACGGGCCAGACUCCUACGGGAGGGAGCAGUGGGGAAUAUGGGACAAUGGGGGGAAGGCUGAUGCAGCGAAGGCGCGUGAGGGAUGGAGGCCUUCGGGUUGUGAACCUCUUUCGCCAGUGAAGCAGGCCUGCCUCGUUUGUGGGUGGGUUGACGGUAGCUGGAGAAGAAGCGCCGGCUAACUACGUG